AGCCUGAACUCGAGUAGGCUGCAAGCAAGGAAGGAAGGGAGGAGAAAGCAGGCAGCAGACCCUCUGCCCAGACCAGACCAUCCAGAACAGCUAUUGCUAGAAGCAGCACAUCAAUUCUGAAUGGUAUGCAUUAGCACCUGAAUACUUGAACAAUGGAAAUGCUUUAAAGGGGUGCUGUGAGCAACUGUGAGAAUCUCCAUGAUAGGUACUUUUUGAAGUCACCAUAACUCCACGCAUGCAUGGCUUGGCUAUGAGCCUUGUACAGUCCUGCAAGGAUUGUGUAUGGGCCACUGUGAUGUGUUAAUCUGCCCUAAACAACAGGUAUGGACAGAUACUUCAUUUUAACCAUUGGAUUUAGCCAUCACACCUGCCUAAGGGAGGAACAUCUGUUCUUAUGCCCUCCCAUGCUGGUA